rnacentral:rRNA from 1 species
GACGAACGCUGGCGGCGCGCCUAACACAUGCAAGUCGAGCGAAGCUGCGGACGGGUGAGUAACACGUGAGAAACCUGCCUUUCACAAGGGGAUAGCCUCGGGAAACCGGGAUUAAUCCCCUAUGGUGAAAGAUGGUCUCGGGCUGGAUUAGCUAGUUGGUGGGGUAACGGCCCACCAAGGCCAUGAUCAGUAACCGGGCGGGGAGGGUGAACGGUCACAUUGGAAGUGGGACACGGUCAGAACUCAUACGGGAGGAAGGAGUGGGGAAUAUUGCACGAUGAGGGAAGCUAUGAUGCAGCGACGCAGGGUGAGCGAUGAAGGCUUUCGAGUCGUAAAGCUCUGUCCUAUGGGGAGCGGUACCAUAGGAGGAAGCCCCGGCUAACUACGUGCCAGCAGCCGCGGUAAUAC